UAAGGUGGUUAUAGCGAUAGGUCUCACCUCUUCCCAUUCCGAACAGAGAAGUUAAGCCUAUCAGCGCAGAUGGUACUACGUUUAGUGGGAGAGUAUGUCGCCGCCUUUA
rnacentral:rRNA from 1 species